CCUACGGGCGGCAGCAGCGGGGAAUAUUGCACAAUGGGCGCAAGCCUGAUGCAGCCAUGCCGCGUGUGUGAAGAAGGCCUUCGGGUUGUAAAGCACUUUCAGCGGGGAGGAAGGCGGUGAGGUUAAUAACCUCAUCGAUUGACGUUACCCGCAGAAGAAGCACCGGCUAACUCCGUGCCAGCAGCCGCGGUAAUACGGAGGGUGCAAGCGUUAAUCGGAAUUACUGGGCGUAAAGCGCACGCAGGCGGUCUGUCAAGUCGGAUGUGAAAUCCCCGGGCUCAACCUGGGAACUGCAUUCGAAACUGGCAGGCUAGAGUCUUGUAGAGGGGGGUAGAAUUCCAGGUGUAGCGGUGAAAUGCGUAGAGAUCUGGAGGAAUACCGGUGGCGAAGGCGGCCCCCUGGACAAAGACUGACGCUCAGGUGCGAAAGCGUGGGGAGCAAACAGGAUUAGAUACCCGGGUAGUC
rnacentral:rRNA from 1 species